rnacentral:lncRNA from 1 species
AUUAAUAUGUGAAGCUAAGGUAACAACUACAAUACGUGUAAUAGGUUUGAAUCGAAUGAAUGUAUGUUGAGCACAAAGGAAAGGUAUUACAAUAAUAAUGUAAUGAAGAAUAAGAAAUCAAUAAAGAAGCAGAAAGUAUACAUAGUUUAUCAGUCACCUCUACAUAAAGUCAUAACUCAUGAGACAAAGGCUAAUCGAUGAAGCAAUUCAAGACAGAAAACAAUAGAUAACUUAUUUUAUUUUUUGUGAUUUUUAAUAUUAAAUUUAAAAUUAUUAUA